GAGCUCAUUUGAUACUGUACAGGGCACACCUCUGCAAAGACUUCAGGGAAGAUGAAUUUUUUCCAGAGUGAGGAAAAUGCUACAUGGUUUGCUGAAGCUCAGAAUCCUUGGCUUGCUUGAAUACAUGGAGCUCUGUGCCAGGAUUCUGUGUGCCAGGCCCAUCUGGCUCACCUCCAGCCCUCUUACAACACAUCCUCAACACACAAAUUAUUGCAAUUUCUCAUUUGCAUUAGGUGCACACGUUCAUGCUUUGUUUUCCUCUGGGCUUUUCCCAUAUCCUGAGCCAAAAGCAGAUCUUUGUGCUGGCUAAGUUUUUACAAGUGCUCCAGUGUAGCAGUAGGCCAUGUUCUUUCUGGCUCUUUACAGAGGUCCAGUUCCCAGCUCUGCUUGCCCACACAUGCUGGCAGCACAACUGAAGUUUUCUUGUAUCUGUUCUACAGAUAAUCUGGUUCUGAGUGUUUGGAAGCCUUUUACUUUUUGAAGCCUUCUCUUCAAGAAGGUGGGCUUGUCCCAGAAGCAACAGACUACAGAGUUUUCACCUGGCUUUUGGCAAAAGUGAGGUGAGAGGCAGAAGAUUUGGGGAGAAGAGUUUUAUCCCAAGUCUAUUGAUUGCAAAGAAAAGACACCCUUUAUUGUCUCAAAACCCCAACAAUAUAAUGAAAUGCACACUUUUAAUUCCAAAUGAUGGCCAGGGUCACGUAUCUUAUCUGACAGUGGUCUUGCAAAUUCCUUCUUUGUCUUAUCUAGACAAGACUUCUUGAAGGAUUCUGCUUGUCACCUGUCUGUAACAGCUGCAAGUUCCUGUUUCAGAUAUUUCAGAAGUACAGAAUUUGUUUUUUUCUUUCUGAGGACAGCUGUCUGAAGGAUAAAAAAAGAAAGGAAGCAACUAAAAGUGGAGAGACUGAAGACUGGGUCAUUAUAAUGGAACAUUCUUCCCUAUAAUUUUUUGGAUCUUGAGUGAAGUCAUGGCAUUUGCUCUGUAUCCCACAUCCUGUUGGUUAGAACAGAGCAUCUCAGCUGCAGCCAAUACAACUUCAAGUGGAAAUGGGUGGGACUGUAAAUAGCCAAGAAGGAGAGAGAGAAAUGUUUGUAUCUGCUCCCAGACUGAGUGGUUAACUAAGUGCUGGUUAAUAAUUAAUGAAAGCACUCUUCUCAAAAGUGAUGUUGAAGACAGUAGCUUAUCAAACCCUGAAGAGCAGCCUGGUGUGAAGAGCAGAACAGGACAGACUUGUGCAGGAGGGUGUGUAGUGGUGCCUGUAGCAGCUGUUCUUGCCAGAGAGUAGAGAAGGACAUCAGAAGUGACUGGAGAAUAAAACCACACUGAAAUCAGUCAUCUGGAGAUGGUUUCAGACCUGUUUGAAGCUCAGCUGUACACACUAGGGACGUGAGCUGGUAAAGCCAUACAGCCUUUAAAUUUGCUUUGAGCAGUUUGCCUUCAAUCUGACCUUUGUGACAGAUGCAGUACAGAAUUGAUAGGUUCUGAGCUGAUGCUUCUCUUAGCUGGUAUCUGCAAAAUCUCAGUUGUUAAAAGAAUGAAAAGAAUCACACAGGAGUUAUUCAAAUAUUUAAUGCACUUUUACUUUUGAAUCAGCCAUGUUUUUAUUCUUUAGCAAGAGGUAUUUACAAUACCCUGCCAUAGCAGUGCAAAGCAACAGUGUGUUGAGCCUAUCUAGGGCUAUGGUUUAAGAGUACAAAUUCAGUGCAGAGGUAGCUGAGGCUGUAGUUACUCCUACCCAGCCCCUCCUCCUGGACUGAGCUACAGGCACCUGUGUGUUUCAGCUGCUCCUCACAUAUCCCAGGAGCAUGGCACAGGGCAGUCCAGCUUCUUCACAGCCAGGAAGCUGCUUUACAGCCCAGGCUGGAAGAGAAAGGCAGCAAGCAGAAGGCAGUUUAAAGAUUCAAUGCUGAUUCAUGCACUCAUGCAAGUUAGGUCCUGCCAGGCUGCUCCCCACUCUUUAUGUAAGGAACUUUAUACUCACAGCAUCUCAAAUUUUACUGCUGCCAUGAAAAAAAAAGCCCUUCAUAACAGUUAAACUGUUACUAGGUACAUUAGUAGUUGUGAGGUCUAUUUUUCAAUCUCAAAGAAAGAGUCAAGAAUACUACAGAGUGGUUUAGAAGAUACCCAAGUACUCCUCUUUAUGCUACUUUCUUAGCCUAGCUGAACCAAAAAAAAAAAAAAAAAAAAAAAAA